rnacentral:rRNA from 1 species
CUACGUGCCAGCAGCCGCGGUAAUACGGAGGGUGCGAGCGUUAAUCGGAAUAACUGGGCGUAAAGGGCACGCAGGCGGUGACUUAAGUGAGGUGUGAAAGCCCCGGGCUUAACCUGGGAAUUGCAUUUCAUACCGGGUCGCUAGAGUACUUUAGGGAGGGGUAGAAUUCCACGUGUAGCGGUGAAAUGCGUAGAGAUGUGGAGGAAUACCGAAGGCGAAGGCAGCCCCUUGGGAAUGUACUGACGCUCAUGUGCGAAAGCGUGGGGAGCAAACAGGAUUAGAUACCCUGGUAGUCCACACUGUAAACGAUGUCGAUUUGGGGGUUGAACUUUGAGUUUGGCGCCCGUAGCUAACGUGAUAAAUCGACCGCCUGGGGAGUACGGCCGCAAGGUUAAAACUCAAAUGAAUUGACGGGGGCCCGCACAAGCGGUGGAGCAUGUGGUUUAAUUCGAUGCAACGCGAAGAACCUUACCUACUCUUGACAUCCAGA